CGGGGAGGCGCUGCCCUAGUUACUCCCGAGGGACCCCGUUCCUCAUCCUCGGCGCCCGGGGGUGCCGGACUCGGGGCCCAGAUCAGUCACCAAGGCCCCCCGGCCUCGCCCCUCCCCGGCCCCUCGCUCAGCCUCGGCGCAACCGGCAGUUCCCAGCGUUGGUGAUAACGUUUCUCCGUGCCUGACCCUUUCUUUCUUCUAUAAAAUGUGCAAAAUUUUAAAAGGAAAAGGUAAACGAAGCCGGUACCCCACCACCCCGGGGUCAUCUCGCAUUUUCAUGCUCUGCCUGGCGGCUUCCUUCUCCGCAGAAAUGGUUUUCACGUAGAAUCUUAGCAACACAACCCGGGCCUGAAGCCGCCCCGGCGGCUGCUGGUCGUGGGCCCGAGAGGCCGAGGCGGUGGACGCGGGCUGAGGCAGCUCUUUCAAGGAGUUCGGCUGCGGAGGAGAAGGUGCUAGUGACCCCAUGCUUGAGCAGACAGGCCCCCUUUGCUACCACAUGGAGACUUGCCUAACAUGGAAGCUAAAGAAGGCAGCCUGGAAGAAAGAAAUCACGUCCUGAUGACAUUAUCUGAGCCCAGGGAUCUUGACAUGCCUGCAGAUUAGCUUCACCUCUGAGCUGAUGUUAAAUGAACCAGUAAACUCUCUUUUAUGCUUAGACGUGGCUUUAUCUGGAUUUUUCUCACUUGCUACAGAAUCCUACUGUAGGUAUCCAUCAUU